GACGAACGCUGGCGGCGUGCUUAACACAUGCAAGUCGAACGGAAAGGCCCUGCUUUUGUGGGGUGCUCGAGUGGCGAUCGGGUGAGUAACACGUGAGUAACCUGCCCUUGACUUUGGGAUAACUUCAGGAAACUGGGGCUAAUACCGGAUAGGAGCUCCUGCUGCAUGGUGGGGGUUGGAAAGUUUCGGCGGUUGGGGAUGGACUCGCGGCUUAUCAGCUUGUUGGUGGGGUAGUGGCUUACCAAGGCUUUGACGGGUAGCCGGCCUGAGAGGGUGACCGGCCACAUUGGGACUGAGUUACGGCCCAGACUCCUACGGGAGGCAGCAGUGGGGAAUAUUGCACAAUGGGCGGAAGCCUGAUGCAGCAACGCCGCGUGCGGGAUGACGGCCUUCGGGUUGUAAACCGCUUUCGCCUGUGACGAAGCGUGAGUGACGGUAAUGGGUAAAGAAGCACCGGCUAACUACGUG
rnacentral:rRNA from 1 species